rnacentral:lncRNA from 1 species
CGGCUUUAAGACGUAUAAGAUCAUAAAAAAGAAGAAGAAACAAUAGGAGGAGUAUGGUAUGUGGCAAGGCGGCCAAGCUGGAUUAGUGUCUAGGCUGCUUUUGUGACUGAAUUACUUGGGUCGCCUGGGGAUGCUUCUGUAGAUUGCUGAAAUGGAGUUCUUCACAACAUAAGCCAAAUACUGAAUAGAAGGUUUAGAAUUUCCAAUUUUCUGCAUUGAGAGGUUCCCUGUAUUUUGCCAGCUUUCAAUUGGUUAAGCCUUUCAACUUUUACCUCAAUCUGCCAUAAUAGAGUUCGAUUCAUGCGGUCUGUGGUCAAAUAAACCAUUUUCUGCAUACUUAAGCUUCCUGUGUGAAGACUUCGUUACUUGGAGAGAC